ensembl:lncRNA
CUCAUGUGUCUGCUGGACAUUGUCACUGCUCUGUGCUUAUUGUGCAGUGUGAUAGUGUACAGUAGUACGGUGCUGAAUCAGAGCCAAGGAUGUCUAGAAGCAAGAGGAAAAGCAGUAGUGAUGUGGAGGGGACUGCUAGAAAGCUCAAAGCAAUAACCAUGGAAACAAAAGAGGGUAGACAGAAUUGAAUUCAUCAAAAACCCUGUGUCAGCCAGGCAUGGUGACACAUGCCUGUAAUCCCAGCACUGAGGAGGCUGAGGCAGGAGAAUUGCCUUGAGUUUGAGGCCAGCCUGGGCUAUAUAGUGAAUUCAAGGACAGUCUGAACUACAUAGUGAGACCCUGCUUCAACAACAACAACAACAACACCUCAAAAGACAACCUGUGUCAUCAGCAUCAGUUAUGAAUGGAGGUCCUUCUUGCCCUCCAUCCCGCACUGCUGAUGAUCCUUCAGCCCCACCAUCUCCCGCCUACCUUCCCUCUUUUAGUUAGUAACUCUCUUCUUGUCAGUUACUCCAUGCAGUCCCCUACAUGCCAGUUGUACUGUACUGUACUGUACCACCAUUUAAAGGUGAC